GGCAUGAUGGCCGAGUGGUUAGGCGACGGUCUGCAAAACCGUUCACUCCGGUUCAAUUCCGGAUCAUGCCUCCA
rnacentral:tRNA from 3 species